GUCCAUGCAUCGGGAGGUUCUGUCGGUUGCAGAAAGAACAAAGGGACAUGCGCGGGCCGGGAGAUGCAGUUCCUUGCUCUCGCCACUAGAGGGCAUCUCUCUGUGAAGCUCCUCUCUGAAUGAGAGAAACCCCCCCUCAAAGGUAAUGCUAAGAAGACAGCCAGAGUUAACCCAGACACAAGGCUCCUCAAAAUCAGACUCUGCCUCUCUGAAUCUGCUUCCUCAUCUGUCAAAUGGAGAUGGCAGUUAAACCCAUCUCCCAGGCCUGUGACGAUUCAUCAAGACGGUGCCUGUAAAAACCCUCACCACGCACAAAGCCUUCUCAGAGAGGCAAAAGCAGACUCCGUGAUCAGCCAAGGUUGCCAGCUGACCUGAUGCUUAAGCUGGGAACAACGAGAAGCAGGACCCAUCCUCCAGGUUCCUCAGGAGGAGAAAGAUCAAAG